AAUCCAUGCAUCGGACAUUUUUGAAGCGAUUCUUUAAAUAUUUCCCAAGCUUCAUACAAUGUCUCAUCCUCUGAUUGCUGAAAAACGUGAUGUCAUUUCUAAGCUU
rnacentral:snoRNA from 1 species